AAAUGAAAUGAGAAACCACGUCAUCACCACAACAAUCCACCGGAGAGGAGGAAGCCGUAGCUCUCAGUGAAGACUCUCGACCGUCACAAAAUAGCUCACAUUCCGUUCUCAUGUCCAACGUCGUCGUUUUAGACAACGGCGGCGGUCUCCUCAAAGCCGGUGCAGGCGGCGACCUUGACCCCUCCGUCAUAAUCCCCAAUUGCCUUUACCGCCCUCUCUCCGCUAAGAAAUGGCUCCAUCCUUCUCCUAUCUCCAUUUCCACUACCGCCACUGCCGCCACCGAACCCUCCUCCGAUCUCGACCUCACAUCAGCCUCCGUUCGCCGCCCAAUUGAUCGUGGGUAUCUCAUAAACCCCGACCUACAACGUGACAUUUGGUCUCACCUCUUCACUUCUCUUCUUCAUGUCAAUCCCUCCAAUUCCUCCCUCCUUUUGACAGAACCUCUUUUCACUCUUCCUUCCAUUCAACGCGCCACUGACGAACUCGUUUUCGAGGAUUUCAAUUUUGCUUCUCUCUAUGUUUCGGAUUCUCCAUCUUUAGUUCAUUUCUAUGAGGCCAGUCGCCGCCCGACGAGCCUUCUAUCUAGGGCACAGUGUAGCCUUGUUGUUGACUGUGGGUUUUCGUUCACUCAUGCUGCUCCAGUGUUCCAGAACUUCACUCUGAACUACGCUGUCAAAAGGAUCGACCUGGGUGGGAAGGCAUUGACGAAUUAUUUGAAGGAGUUAGUGUCUUAUCGUGCUCUGAAUGUUAUGGAUGAGACCUUCAUCAUGGAUGAUGUCAAAGAAAGGCUCUGCUUUGUCUCCCUCAAUGUCCCCCGCGACCUCCAGAUUGCGAGAAAGUCGGGGAAGGAAAAUUUCUUCCGAUGUACAUACGUUCUCCCUGAUGGCGUAUCGUAUACAAGGGGUUUUGUUAAAAAUCCAGAUGACGCUAAGAGGUAUCUCUCCUUGUCUGAUGAAAAAGUUUCAUCUCCAUCACUUGGAGUCAAGAAGGAUGUGAUUGAGCUAGACGUAUCAGAAAAGACGGAAGAUAAGAAGAGAAUUGAUCUAACAAAAAAUGAAUUUGAUUUGACCAAUGAACGCUUCCUUGUUCCGGAAAUGAUAUUCCACCCUGCAGAUUUGGGAAUGAACCAGGCCGGUCUAGCAGAGUGCAUUGUUAGAGCUGUUAAUUCUUGCCAUCCUCAUCUGCACCCUGUGCUCUAUGAGAGUAUUGUUUUGACUGGUGGAAGCACUUUAUUUCACAAUUUUGCUGAAAGAUUAGAGAAGGAACUCCGUCCUCUUGUCCCAGAUGAGUGUCAAGUGAAGAUAACAACUCAAGAAGAUCCCAUUUUAGGGUCAUGGAGAGGGGGAUCACUACUAGCAUCUAGUCCUAGUUUUGAAGCAAUGUGUGUUACAAAGGCUGAAUACGAGGAGCUUGGAUCUGCUCGGUGUCGGAAGAGAUUUUUACAUUGAGUGCUUGGAAGCAUAAAGAUUUUCUCCAAGUUUUUGUGCAAAAUCACGAUUGUGGACGAGGGGAGGAAGAAUUACCUGAUCACCCCCAUAAUGAAGGAAGGUUCAAGCAAGCUUCAGCGGCGGCUCAAUCAGGCAGAUAAAAGUGAACAGGCAUUUGUGGGUCAAUUCUACUGCUAAAGAUUAUGUUCAUAUAUGAGGGAGGUAGAUGCAAAAUCUUCAUUGGACUGAUUGUAGAGGAGGGUUUACGUGAGUAUAGCUACUUUGAUGGGCUAGCAUAUAGUCUGAAUCAAAAGGUAAGAGGUUUGAAUUUACACCUUCUAAACAUUUACACCUUCUAAACGACACAAAGAUUUAUAUAUUUUGAUUCUUGCUUUGGCUGUGGUUUUGGUAUUAUAUUCCAACAUUUUUAUGUGGGGUGAUAGCCUCUCACAGCAGAAGUUGUCAGUCAAAAAGAGUAAUUAUCUCUGUUUCUGUCUAUUGAAUCUGUUUUUGGUUGGAAGCUUGCAGAUGUUUAAUUGCUUUGAUGAUAUAUACAUUUGGCAUUCAAUCUCUGAAUGAUGCAAUCUGUCUUGUCACAUUAAUGCUGGGGUUGAUCUUGACAUCUUAUUGUGCCUGUACUUGGGGAACAUUUUGAUUUUGUAAUUUCACUCUCUUGUUCUUUUUUUAAAGUUAUUCUUAUUGCUGUUACCCAAUACCACUUUCUUAAGAAAGUAUUUAUUUAAAAGUAAACACUUUUUUUA